ensembl:lncRNA
CAUUAAUAGCUCUGGUUCCGUGUGUCCCCCCCCCCGUUUAACACAUUCACCCGGUCCACAUUUACACAGCGAGCGGGAUUGACUCCUCUGCCGUGCCAAUGCUCCUUCUUGAUAAUAGGCAGUCUGGAGGAAUAGGAUGAGGGACAGGCCGAGGGAGAUAAGCCACACUAGGAGAAAUUGUUGGGAAAAGUGGAGUUGAAGUUGUCUGAAAGUGUUUGUGCAUCUUUGAUUCCUAAAGACGUUGCUCUCUCCUCAGGUUGAGCCAGAUGACACGACCACCCUCCACAGUCAAGGUGACAACAACAUGAGGAGCCACUUGAAGGAGCAGCCAAACACUAAAAGAUGACACAUUGGAGUUAAAACCAAGGAAAGCUGAUCCCCUCAUUUGAAGUCACGUCCAAGUUCUCGUCAUUGCUGUCCUCGCCACGAUCCUCCUCCUCUUCCUCCUCCUCUUGGCUCCUGCUGCCCUUUGUCUAUACAGUUUCACAGAAGCUGCUCAGAACUAGAACGAGGGAGCGUCUUGCCCCUCCUUGAUACGCCUCUAAAUCCCAGGUCUGUGAGAAGGAGCACAGCCGCCGGCUGAUGCCGACCAGCCGCCAGCUGGUGUCCUCCACCCCUCUGUCCCAGAGGAUCCACUGAACCUUCCAGGGAGGACUUUGGGGUGCGGCAAUCCCCUGUGACCACCCCUCCCCCCCGUCCCCCCGACUCCUGAUACCAUACUACUGAAUGCUGACAAUGAACCUGCCUGUCUGUCUGCUCGUCUGUCUGUUGCAUUGGCUGUCAAUCUGCACCAAGUGCCAUAGCGUCAUUACAUUCCUUCCGACUUUGCACUGACCCACGGCCCUCAUGACUUGUGAUCACUGACUGUGUUGACAUGCGCACCAGAAUCCAGCCAUUAGCGAUGAAAUCUGUUUGAUUACGUGGCUCGACAUCCGCAUGUGUCAACUGCAAUCAUUAAGCUCCAUUGGUGUCUCUGUUGCUCCAAUGCAAAUUACCCACAAUUCAUUCUGCCUUGGCUUUUAAACACAGAAAAAAGCUGUAAAAUUCAAGUGGAGUGAGAGAUUUGGCGCUUCCCGGUAGGAGUGUAAUUCCCAAAGACUCUGAUCACUCUGCUCGUAAGCCCUCAAAGCGAAAAACUGUUACCAUCAGUAAAGCAUCCGUAAAAAUUGGCGCUUUCCCAUCAAACAGCUGUUUCCUUUGACGGCCUCAUGUGUUUUUCUUAUUUUGAGCCUUUAGCACUUACAUAGGCGUAGACAGAUCCAGAGAACGUGAUUUCUGCACAUUAUUUUUCAUUAGCUCUCUUGUGAUUUUUUUUUUUCUGCAUGAUGUUGGAUUUGAAACGGGAGGUCACUGCCUAUGAUUGUUUCAGAAGGAAUGUGAUGCAAUCCGGGCAAUUUAAACAGACACUGGACGUUUUUUUUAUAAUUUAUAAAGUGCAUGCUUUUCCCAAAAGUAAAAAGAAAGCUUCUCUUCUGACUUUUAAGGAGUAGCUUAAUGUUUUUUGUGUACACGAGAAGCAAUACAAAGAACCAACCUUUCUAAUCCACACUGCCUUUUCAGGGAGAGAGGUUUCUCUUCAGAGGGAUUAGCUCUCUGAUUGCUGGUUUUCAAUUUCUGGACACAAAACCCACAGGGACGGAGUCGCUUCUAAUGUCCAUGCUGGUGACAAUACCAGCCAUUGUGGAAAGAUACCCUUUUUACUUCGCAAUUGUAGAUAUCCCAUUCCACAAUUAAGAGAAAGGACCUUUUAGGAGAGCAGGGGCUGUCGACAUCUCUCUAUUACUGAGGGGAAUCAAAAUUCCAGACAGCAACAGGAAAUCCUGAUGGCAACUUCUUAUCACUUACAAUGCAUUAGAGAGGAAUCCCCCCCAUCCCCUUUGAAACCUGACCAGCAAGUCCUGAGAUGUCUCUGCAGGGGUCUCCUUUAAUACCCCGAACCACACAUCAUAGAAGUACACAAAAGGGGGGUGGGGGGUUCAACUGGUGUUUGUAAUCAUGCAACUUUAAUGCAAAACAUCAGCUAUAGCUAGUUGCUUGUAAAAAUUUAGGUAAAAACGUCAUUAGAAGCUACUCUGAGGGACCCUUUUUGGUGCAAGUACCUCGUGGAUAAAUCUUCACUGCAACCCGCGAUGGCGUCAGAGGUUUGAAACACACAACACAUAAAAGGAGAAAAAGGCACUUUUCAGACCUCAGAGAAAAAACAGGAGGAGGAGGAGAGAAUGACCUUCGCGGAGGCCCAAAGGGGAGGUUGAGGUGGUUCUUGUAGCAUCGAUGUGCGACCAUGACUCACCGGCUGUGUGCAGGGAGCUGUGUGGGCAGCGUCUUUGCUGCCAGAUCAAUAGCUUUAGCUUCUCUCCAACUGCGUGGAGCUCUCUGAAUGUGACGCGUUUACACACCUACAUCUUCUUAAUGGACUCAGCUUACCUCCUUUUGUUGAUUUUCUUUUUCUUAAUGUUACCAAAUGAAUUAAAAAAUGUAAUAACUACCAUAGAGAUAUAGAUAUAUAUAGAUAUAUAUAGAUAUUAAGCUAUAUCACGCAGCAACUUUAAUAUAUUGUAAAUGAUGGCUUGGAUGCAAUGUAUUUAUUUGUUUGUUACCAUAAUGAAAAAUAAUCUAUAAAGGGAAGUAUAAGGUUUGAGUAUACUACAAAUUGUUGUAUAUCAUUGGGUGUAGAAAUUGUUUGUUCAUCCUUUUAUAUCACCAUGAAACUACACAAAAACAUCAUACAUCACUGAGAUGUAUCCCGUUUACUGUGAUCAUGACCUGGACAUCUCACACACAUUACACACACAAAAGGAACUGCGAUAUGAUGGAUGUGUCUAAUGUUUAGGGUGCAAUACAUUCUGCAUUCAUUUUGUAGCUCUUGUAAAGUUUUUUUUAAUUAUUAUUAUUUUGAGAACAUCCGAUCAAACCAUUUUGCACGCCUAAUGUUCAGGGAUUGAUUUGAACCGCAGCCUCAGAAGUCUGUCACGUCACGCUCACGACACUGUAGUUGCUGACAUGUUGUCACCUGACACGAGAAGGGACGUUGGCUCUGUUCAGACGGGUCACCAAUUGAGUUUUACUUUGCCAAAUUUAGUUGAUUCAGCAUCAAUUAUUUAGAAGUAUAAAUCCGUUGUAUUGAGUAAUUCUACCUUGAUAAUCACUGAAGUGAUGUGCUGAGAAAUGUUCUACUUCUUGUCAUACAAGAAUCCUGUAUAAAGAAACCUAUUUCUGAUAUUGAGCAGAAAACAGAGGUUAUUUUUUAUUUUUAGAGCGUGUCAAUACAAGAGAUGUGUAGAGAAAUCAAAGGAAUAUUGUUCUAGAACUGAACUGUGACGCUCCUUCCAGGGGGUUGAUAGAAAAUGUACAUGUCUGUAAAUCAAAUAAACCUAUUUAAUCACUUCA